GUCUGCAGCGGCAUCUGGCAUCCAGGCCAGCCUCCUUGGUGGGCCGUGAACUGAAUGGUGGCGCUGGCCUGUGCCCAGUAUAUCUGGGUUCGGUGGCUGAGAGAGCUUUUGUUGCCCUGUGUCCGUGACGGGCCAGUGUUCUGCAUGCAUCCCAUCACAUGGAUCCAUGGAGGAUGUUGAGCCCAGAGGAAGACUUGCACUGGGCCCAAUGGCCCCAGGUCAGCGUCCAUCAGCCAGGUGUCCAGCCCCUGGUGCACUGAAGAUCGGGCCCUUCCUGGUGCCCUGGUCUCCUGCAUUGAGCUGUGUGAGCUCUUCCACAUGGAAGACCCCUGUCAUUGACUGGCAUAGGGUUCAGUGGCGGAGAGAGCAUCAGGUGGCCCACGUCUGUGAUGGGCCAGUAUUCCACAUGGAUCUCAUCACAUGGGUCCAUGGAAGGCGAGCAUCCCUGAGCUGGCACACCCCACCUUCUGCCAGCAUGGAAGGAUGGUGAGCACAGAGGAAGAAUUGCGUUAGGCCCUUUGGCCCCGGACCAGUGUCUGCCAGCCACGUGCUCAGCCUCCCGUGCGCUAAAGCUCAGGUCCUUCCUGUCAUCCUGGUAUCCUGCACUGAGGUGUG
rnacentral:lncRNA from 1 species